rnacentral:piRNA from 1 species
UAGAUAAGGCACCUGUCCGGAGUUAAGGAG